CUUCUAUCUACAGUACCUUCUAAUUAUACUCUACAGUACCUUCUAAUUAUACAGUACAGUACCUUCUAAUUAUACAGUACAGUACCUUCUAAUUAUACAGUACAGUACCUUCUAAUUAUACAGUACAGUACCUUCUAAUUAUACAGUACAGUACCUUCAGAAAGUAUUCACACCCCCCUGACUUUUACCACAUUUUGUUGUGUUACAAAGUGGGAUUGAAUUGCCUUUUUUGUUGUUGUAAACAAUCUAUACAAAAUACUCAAAUAAAUUUAUGGAAAAUUAAACACUAAUGUAUCUUGACUAGAUAAGUAUUCAACAUCCUGAGUAUUCAACAACAUGUUACAAUCACCUUUGGCAGCAAUUAAAGCAGUGAGUCUUUCUGGGUAAAUUGGUAAAGCUUUGCACGUCUGGAUUGUACAAUAUUUUUCCAUUAUUCUUCCAAAAAUUCUUCAUGCGUUGUCAAUUUAGUUGUUAAUCAUUGCUAGACUGCCAUUUUCAAGUCUUGCCAUAGAUUUUUAAGUAAGUCAAAACUGUAACUAGGCCACUCAGUAACAUUCAAUGUGCUCUUGGUAAGUAACUCCAGUGUAUAUUUGCAGACUGAACCAAGUUUUCCUCUAGGAUUUUGCCGGGGGCUUAGCUCUAAUACGUUUCUUUUUAUCCUGAAAAACUCCCUAGUCCUUGCCGAUGACAAGCAUAUCCAUAACAUGAUGCAGCCACCACCAUGCUUGAAAAUAUGAAGAGUGGUACUCAGUGUUGUGUUGGAUUUGCCCCAAACAUAAUUUCUGUGCCACAUUUUUUUUUGCAGUAUUGCUUUAUUGCCUUGUUUGCCAACAGCAUGCAUGUUUUGGAAAAUGUUUAUUCUGUACAGGUUUCCUUCUUUUCAUCCUGUCAUUUAUGUUAGUAUUGUGGAGUAACUACAAUGUUGUUGAUCCAUCCUCAGUUUUCUCCUAUCACAGUCAUUAAACUCUGUAACUGUUUUAAAGUCACCAUUGGCCUCAUGGUGAAAUCCCUGAACGGUUUCCUUCCUCUCCGGCAACUGAGUUAGGAAGGACACCUGUAUCUCUGUAGUGACUGGGUGUAUAGAUACACCAUCCAAAGUGUAAUUAAUAACUUCACCAUGCUCAAAGGGAUAUUCAGUGUCUGCUUCUUCUUUUUUUUACCCAUCUGCCAAUAGGUGCCCUUCUUUGCGAACCAUUGGAAAACCUCCCUGGUAACAUAAUUCCACUUUGACAUUACGGAGGAUUGUGUGUAGAUCAGUGACACAAAAUCUCCAUUUAUUUCAUUUUAAAUCCAGGGUGUAACACAACAAAAUGUGGGAAAGGUCAAGGGGUCUGAAUACUUCCUGAAGGCCCUGAACCUAUAUGUCAUUAUGUGAGUCCCAAAUGGCAUCCUAUUCCCUUUUAUAAAGUAAGUAGCCUUGUCUGAACCAGAAUGUCCCAUAGGGCAGGAGCCUGUCUCCUGUUUCUGUAGCGUGAGGCAGCUUGAUGUACAACUCCACCCCCCGGAAAGGACGCUAGCCUAUCGCAGGGCCCAUAGCCCAAAGUAACGCACAAUAGACUGCCAUUUGGGGCUCAUUGUUAUUCCUGGUUUAUUCAUGCACUGGAAAUUAUUUUCUGUGUAUAAGAAGGAUUUCAUCUAUUGUGCUUUAACCAUGUAUUUAGUGUGACUUGAUUUGUCAUUCACAUCUCAGUAAAUGUACUGUAUGUUUGUAGAGAUGGAUCAAAUGCCUUUUUAUACUGAUAUACUUAAAGCUGCAAUAAAAUAUACAUUUGGAAUGAGAACAUUUUAGUGAGUGAUAUUUUUCAUUAAAACAUCUUGCAGCAUGGACUCAUUGGAAAAUGAAA
ensembl:lncRNA